rnacentral:rRNA from 1 species
CGUGGGUAACCUGCCCAAGAGAUCGGGAUAACACCUGGAAACAGACGCUAAUACCGGAUAACAACAGAUGAUGCCUAUCAACUGUUUAAAAGAUGGUUCUGCUAUCACUCUUGGAUGGACCUGCGGUGCAUUAGCUAGUUGGUAGGGUAACGGCCUACCAAGGCGAUGAUGCAUAGCCGAGUUGAGAGACUGAUCGGCCACAUUGGGACUGAGACACGGCCCAAACUCCUACGGGAGGCAGCAGCC